rnacentral:tRNA from 1 species
GCCAGCGUCGCAUAGGGGUAUUGCGCCGGUCUCGAAAACCGGUUCCGCAAGGAAUCGCAGGUUCAAAUCCUGCCGCUGGCG